rnacentral:sRNA from 1 species
UGCGCGCUGGUCCUGUACGAUACAUGAC